rnacentral:rRNA from 1 species
UACGUAGGGUCCAAGCGUUAUCCGGAAUCACUGGGCGUAAAGCGUGCGUAGGUGGAUGCUUAAGUGAGUUGUUAAAUCGUGUGGCUCAACCAUAUCGAUGCAAUUCAUACUGGGCGUCUAGAGGACAGCAGAGGCAAGUGGAAUUACGAGUGUAGCGGUAAAAUGCGCAGAUAUCAGGAGGAACACCGGUGGCGAAGGCGGAUCUCUGGGCCGUAACUGACGCUGAGGAGCGAAAGCAUGGGGAGCGAACAGG